rnacentral:rRNA from 1 species
UAAGUGGGAAACGAUGUGGGAAGGCCCAGACAGCCAGGAUGUUGGCUUAGAAGCAGCCAUCAUUUAAAGAAAGCGUAAUAGCUCACUGGUCGAGUCGGCCUGCGCGGAAGAUGUAACGGGGCUAAACCAUGCACCGAAGCUGCGGCAGCGAACGUAUCACCCAAGACAACUUUACGGAGUUGACGAUUGACGGAGCGAAGCGACGUCAAAGCGUUCAUUAAAGUCGAGUUGGCUUAGGGAUACGUUCGUUGGGUAGGGGAGCGUUCUGUAAGCCUGUGAAGGUGUGUCGUGAGGCAUGCUGGAGGUAUCAGAAGUGCGAAUGCUGACAUAAGUAACGAUAAAGCGGGUGAAAAGCCCGCUCGCCGGAAGACCAAGGGUUCCUGUCCAACGUUAAUCGGGGCAGGGUGAGUCGACCCCUAAGGCGAGGCCGAAAGGCGUAGUCGAUGGGAAACGGGUUAAUAUUCCCGUACUUGGUGUUACUGCGAAGGGGGGACGGAGAAGGCUAUGUUGGCCGGGCGACGGUUGUCCCGGUUUAAGCGUGUAGGUGUGUGUUCCAGGUAAAUCCGGUUCACUUUAACACUGAGGCGUGACGACGAGGCACUACGGUGCUGAAGCAACAAAUGCCCUGCUUCCAGGAAAAGCCUCUAAGCAUCAGGUAACACGAAAUCGUACCCCA